AGGAUUGGCACCACGGCUGCCCCGGACUCCGAGCGUCGAUCUGCUGCGUCUCCAGCCUCCGACGAGGCCCCACGAGCCUCCUACCCCUCCGCCCGUAUCCCCUGUUUCUCCCAUUCGACAGGGUUCUUUUGAAGGAUCACCUGUUCUUCAGGGAAACUACUGAUACCAUAGGUGUAACAAUAAAGUUGCACGGCAUGUGAUUUUUGGCCUUCCGCCCCGGCGCCACCUCCCCUUCGCUGAGCGCGGCGUCUGCGACAGUGGAAGGAGGACGAUGAAGGGAACGGGGCUUGCCAUAGAGCCGACGCAGCAGAGGUCAUUGCCUCUCACUUGGUCUCCUCCACCAAAUUCGGCGGCAAGGGCGCUCGGAUCUGCAGAAGAAGCCGUCGAGAAGAUGGGAGCAUUACAUGGAGGUAGCAGAGCUACAAAAGAAGUUCCAAGAAGAGGAAAAAACUAUACAAGGCUAACUUUGUUAGGCCUGCAGAUCCUGGAGUGUUGUGUCAGCGGGAGGUCUAGCAUGUAAGGGAAGCCGGCGUAGUGCCCUGGCACCAGCCAACAUCCACAAUUUGGCUUCCUGAAGGAUCGGAUCGACAGAACCAGGUUAUGCCUGUUUGGUGUUGUCUUUUUGAAGAUUGCAUAGUGAUCGUUGGUGAAAUUGCUUAUUUUGUUGCUUAUGCAUUUGCUCCUGCUAGUCUUGUAAUUCACCUUGAAACACUCAGUAUUUAUCAUCAGGUACAGUCAUUACAAUUCUGUAGAAAACUAUUAAUAAUGUGUUUUAGCUUGCUUCUGAUUAAACUGCAGUCACAGUCCAUUCUAAAUGUCUGAAGUACUGCACUUACCCAUUCCAUUCUACAGGAGAAACUGCACACCUUUGGUAUACCUGGGUGUUUUCUUUGUGUAGUUGGAUUGAUCACAAUUGACUCCAUGCUCCACUGGAGCGUGAUAUUGAUUCCGCAAGGGAAGUUUGGGAUCUUGUAACUGAGCCAGAUAUACCAGAAAAAACAAGCUGGUUAGAAUAUUUGUCCAUCAAACGAUUCAAGAGGAGGGAGAGGAGGUGAUAAAGGAAUCAAUUGAGGAGCGAGGCAACCUAUUCCUAUGGACUGAUGCUGAUCGUUAGCGAAAAUCAUUUUAGCAAGUUUGAGUACAAAUUGGCCUUUUAAGGUUGAUGACUUGCAUCUCGUCAGUUUGACGACUCUUAACACAUUUCACUGUUUAGUUAAUCAGGCACUGUUAUAGUUUGAUUUUCUUAGCAGUACACAGUAUUUGUUUCUUGUGAUUAGUAUCUUUGUUGUCAUUGAAGUAUAAGGAGAGGCAAACACUGUUUUUGCCCUAGGUACAUUUUUCUUUGUUUGUGUCAACCAUUUAAUAUGAUAUCAUCUCUCAAGGUAGGU